rnacentral:rRNA from 1 species
ACACGACUACAUUAGAUACCCGCGUAGUCCUAGCCGUAAACGAUACUCGCUAGGUGUCGGCCACGGUGCGACCGUUGUCGGUGCCGUAGGGAAGCCGUGAAGCGAGCCACCUGGGAAGUACGGCCGCAAGGCUGAAACUUAAAGGAAUUGGCGGGGAGCACCACAACGGGUGGAGCUUGCGGUUUAAUUGGAUUCAACGCCGGAAAUCUUACCGGGACCGACAGCAACAUGAAGGCCAAGCUGAAGACUUUGCCGGAUUAGCUG